GAGACAGAUUAUGCAGCAGCAGUGAACAGACUCAGACAAGGUUUGAGGGCUUUAUGGCUAUAUCACCCGUCAAGGAAUGUUCAAAGGAUCCAGUUAAUGGGCGGCUCGCAAGUCCAACUCCACCGU